AGCAAAUCUAUUAAAUAACUGAUCCAGUUUUAAACAAUGUAGUAAAGCGUUGAAGAAUUUGGCCAGGUUAAGAGAGGUCAAGUAAUUUUUUAUCAUUCCUUUUCUCAACUACUUCCUCUAACCAAAUCAGACCAGCCCCAGCCCUGUCCCAAUGAUACUUAAAUGUUACACAAGGGAGAACAAUAGAGGACUCUUGGAUGCUUUUUUUUUCAACUAUAAGGACAUUCACCAACAAUCAACGCAAAAGUAUGACAAGAACCAACACCAACAUCAAAUUCAACAUAUUUUCCAGGUCUUUUUCUUUUUUCAUUUUAUUCAUUGAAAUCAUGCGCGCGCCCCCACCCCCCUCCAACUCUACAGUGAAGGAGACGAAACAAACUGCCUGGGUAAACUAAAGAGAUCAUUCCCUUCAAAUGGAGAUGUCCAUUCAUGAGAAUUAGCUGCAGAUGUUUCUGGAUUGACCACUCCAACGUCCUGCAAUCCUGGAAUGCAUACAACAUUCCCACUUGCAGCUGUUCUCAUUGCCAACUUAGCACCCAAGCUAGCACUACUUGAAUGUAUUUGGGUGCCAUUUUUUAAAUAACCUGGGCCCAUCCACAUUCCACUAAGCCUUGUAGAGGACAAUCCUCGAUCCAAACUCCAGUCUACGCUGGCGUAAUCUAACUGAGCCACUGAGCCAGCAGUGCUCCAGUCAACUGGAGAAGAGGCACCUGAUGAACCAGCUGAGCCACCCAACCCGGAGAAGAGUCCAAGAGAUGAAGCAGCAGCAAGUGUAGGUGAUGCACCUGUUCUGCUCCAUAAGCCAUUUCCUCUGCUGGUUCCAGGAGAAUCCCCAGGGCUACUGCCUGGAACGAAGUGUUGCUGUUGCUGAUAAUGAAGUUGAUGGAACAUCUGAUUAGAAUUCAGAUUGUUCGGACUGAGGCUUCUUGUGGUGGGAAUAUUUGGCAUCAAGCAAGUGGACUUCACAACAUCGACACCAUUAGUAGGAUACCAACUGGCAGCAGUUCCAGGAGAAGAAGAACUUAUGCUUGUAGCUGGAACCUGCUUUGUAUUCGCAGAUUGAGGUCUUUGCAUCAUGAUGACCGGUUCCAUAACUGUCCCAGGGUGAAGAUUCUUAUAUUCACUGCCAACAGCCACAAAACGUGCUUCUGUCUUGGCUGGAGGAGGUGAGACCUGCAAAGGUGAUGCCAAAGAAUAAGAAACAGUAGGACUUGCUCCCACACUUGGCCACCUUUUCUCAGCAGGCACUGCACUUUGCUGAGGUUUUGCCCACUCCAACUUUGGUUGUAUUCUCUUUAAAGGCUGCAGAUUUUUACUCCCAGACUCUGGAGAUCCUGCUACGGGAACCACUGUCUUUGUGUAAUUAAAAUCUUUGUCAUCUCUUUUUUGUUGUAUCAUAGAAGGUGGAUUGGAUUUCUGUUGUUGUUGUCUCACCAUAUUCUGGCUAACUGCAACUGAAAGUUUACCAUUACUGACUGUUGGAGGAUCACCAGUUUCUUCUGGCUUAGGGGGAGCAGCAGGUGGAUCUAGCUUCAGUUCUCUUAAACUUUCUGCUGCCGUGUCAAGAUCACCUUCAGAGGCAACCACAGCUCUUUCAACCUCCUGCUUGCUGCACUUGUAUCUUAUUUCCAUCUGGGCCAUUCUAGCAAGCUCUUCUGAUAUGUCAAUUUUCAAAUUACUCCCACCAAGGUUUUGAUCCCGGUGCUUAUCCGCAUCUUCACCCUCUUCAAAUAGCCAAGAAACAGAUUCUUCUACUUUUCCUUCAUUUAAUAUUAGCGCCAUUGUAGCCCGCUCAUGUGAAAAUCCCAUUGCAACAAGCUGUUGAGCAAGUGCUUCUAGCUUUCUUGACAUUAGAUAGCCACUGCACCGCUCAUGCAAUUCCUGGGCUCGCCUCUCCUUUUGACGCUGAUGCUUCCUCUCAUUCUUUUGACGGAUUUUUUCCCUCUUGUCAUUGUCAGCCCCUGGGAUUGUUUCCUGCUGAACAGUAGGAUUCUUCUCUUUAUGAUCUUCUGACUCACCAGACCAGCUGCCAUUAUUUGAAACAGAAUCAUACUCAACCCCAGCUCCAAGUGAACCACCAAAGUGAUCAUCUGUCUCAUCUAUGUUCUGGUAACGACCAUUAGCAUGCAGAGGUGAAGGAGAGGAUGUUGGUACUGUUUCCAGUGCAUGAAAUGUUCCAGAAAGUGGAUUGUAUGCACUAGCUGGUAUACAACUACCUGCAUUAGUAGGCCCAGAAGGCUUCGAUGAAGCUUUCUGGGGUUCCUUGCCAGCCCUUUUGUCCUUGGACUUGGAUUUUGAUGCUGGAGACAUUUCCUCGAAAGCAAUUUAUUCCGGUGGAGAGAAACAGACGACUGCGUGAUGGAUGGAAGGAUCGCGAUUAAAGUCGGGAAGGAGACAAUAGAAAGAUAGGUAUUUCGAGGCCCAAAAAACAGAAUCGAUAGAAUUAGGGUUUGAGACAAGAAAAAGAGAAGGAAAAAGAUAUUGGAAAUGAUAAUUCCGAAACUCUUAUUAACCCACCAGGUACAAUACAUGGAUGGC
rnacentral:misc_RNA from 1 species